ACUUCAAGCUUUCUGUCUGCUGAGCAGUGACCAUGUUUACUGUUGUCUUUAUUGAAUUUUUACUGCUUAUGGAGAGUGCUGGUGCAAAUACAAUAGAAUCUCUCUUACCAGAAAAGCAUGUUGUAGUUGGACAAAGUGCUGUUAUCUCUUGCAAAUACAGUGGCAUUGGGCCCAGCUUUCAGUGGUAUCGCCAAUAUCCAAGAUCCAGACCAGAGUAUCUUAUUUUUAACACAGAGACUGCGGUUUCAUCCGAAUCCACUUUACGUCUCAAAGCGAUGGCUAAAAAAGAAAUCACAGAAGUGGAGCUGGAGAUCUCAUCUACUGAAAUCAAAGACUCUGCUGUGUAUUACUGUGCCCUGGUGCCCACAGUGACAGGAAACCCACCUGCUCUGUACAAAAACUUAAUACAUGAACACAUCUUGCAUUACACAAACAUUGUGACACACCAGCUUCCAAUCACGCACAAUAGAUCAAUGAUGCAACUGUUCUUAUUUUUCCAAAUUUAAUGAAACACUGUUAGGUCUUCUGAUUUUAAGAAAAGGACAACCCAUCAUCCAAGAUAAAGCCUCAGCCAGGGGGUGGAGCAAAUUCACAAAGUCUUUGAAUGUGUGAAAGGCUGGUUCGUUUAGAGUCACCCUGGUUUGAUAGUUUUACAAUCAUUCAUCAUCAGAAACCAUGAUGUUUCUUUUUUGUUGGAUACCACUGACAAUACUCAUAGGUAAAUAAUUGAAUUCAUGAUUUAAUUCUUGUUUACUAAAAAUUACUUUAUUUUGAUGUGCUAUAUUAUAUAUAAAUUUGUGCACAAGUUUCUUACCUUCAGUGUUAUUUUAAUUAAUACAGUUGCAUUUUAUCCAUUCAGGAAAUUCCUUUGCUGACACAAUACAGCCAUUGUCUUCUGAAAGGCAUAUUUUCAAAGGCGACAAUGUGACUCUGUCCUGUAACUACAGCGGUUUUGUAAACAAUAUUCAAUGGUAUCGGCAAUAUGUGGGAUCUAGACUGGAGUUUCUGAUACUUGUAAAUGAAAAUUCAGAGGCAUCUGAGCAUUCUCUUCGUCUGUCAGCAAAAGACUCAAAAGAGAAGAAACAAGUGAUUCUUAAAAUCUCUUCUGCUGAAGUGACUGAUUAUGCUCUGUACUACUGCGCUCUGAGGCCCACAGUGACAGAAAGCCCAGAAGCACUGUACAAAAACUCUGAUUUCAGUCGGAUGAUUUUGUAUUUCGGCAUAACUUUUUUUUUUAUUAUUACAUCAUUCUUUCUACUUCAAAAUGUCAUGUUAUUUGCUUCAUCUUUGUAAUUAAUUUUGAGUUUUUUAGUGUGUGUGUUACUAAAUUUAUACUUAAAUGUAAAAUUUCCAUUAAUAAUCCAACCCUAUUCCAUUAUACAGAAGGCUUUAAUUUUCUGUUUGAUUUCAAUUUCUUAAAAUGGAAUAAAUAUUCAAUAUAUGUUCA
ensembl:lncRNA